rnacentral:lncRNA from 1 species
GGCGUGGGCGGAGAACGCCUCAUAGAAGGCGACCUCGUGCUCCCCACGGUCGCCGGCCUGGAGCGGCUUGUAGAAGAGGCCAGAGUCGUCGAUGAGUGGGCCCAGCUUGCUGGCGGAGGCGCGGUGACCGGCGACUUGGUGCUCCGGCGGGUGGAGGUCGGGCAUGGUAUGGGGACUAUGGGAGCAAGGGGUGACGGGUGGCGAUGGUGGAAGCGGUGGGUUUGCGGCGCAGCGGAGAAAGAGAUUUUGGGGCGGGGUGGUUGCCAAAGGCAGUCGACGAG